CGCGGAAUUCGCGAAAGCCGCCGACUACGACGUAGUACUAGGUAUAUACAUACGCGCUGACAACACGUACGCUCGCGUAUACGUCUGUACAAUAUAUACACACGCACACGUCACGUACGCGCGCGUGAUGUGUCGCCCCGGCGGUCAGUAGUCGGCGGCGCGCCACGUGCUCUCUACACACGACGCUCUGCGCUCCGCGUCGUACGCGUCCACCGCCGGGACGUGCGACCGCAUUACGCGCUCGCGCGCCGUGCACACCACGUGCUGCACGCCAUUCACGCGAUCGCGCGCGCCCACUUGCACACGCGCACUGGUACGCAAACACACGCGUGCGCGCGCGCUACCCGCACCGGCCAUAUUAUCACUCGUAUUCGUGACGUCUUUAUCGAUCAAUGAAUCAAUAUUAUUGGCACAAUCUUUACUGGAGUUCAAACUUUUUUGAGUGAGAAGUAGUACUGGAUAGAUUAAAAUUAUCUAUAUAAAAUAUUCCAACAAACGUAAAGAAAGAUACUAUACAGUCUACUUUUAAUAUGAGGAUAAUGGGUGUUGCAGGCGAGAUUGCGUUUCGACACCGCUGCCGAUUGUUUCCAAAAAAAUGAAAAAAAAAAUGGAAAAGAAACACACCUGUCCCACGCGCCUUUGUGCAAAUUAUUUGGGUCAGGAAUAGGCGCCUAGCCAUACGAAGGUAUGUGCAGCAGCAAUAAUUCGAUAUUUUAUAAUAUUAUAUCUUUGGAUUUUAUUUAAUAUCUUUUUGUGUGAUAUUAAACGAAACCUCGUGUAUACGCAUGGUGUAAUUUUUAAUUGGUGUCAAGGACCACCUGUUCGGCACCCCGCCAAGACUCGCGGAAAAUUAGGCCUUUCCCCUUGAUGUACCGCACACUUCAAACGGUACCUAUAUACCUAUAUAUAAAUUGAAAAACCUAACGGC